GGGCUGGCUUUAGCCCAGCGGUUCCUUCGAGUCUGGCUUCCCAACCGCCUGGGCCGAUUGGUUCGAGACCCGCGGGCGCUCUCCAGUCCUUUA
ensembl:misc_RNA Vault Vault RNA